rnacentral:rRNA from 1 species
GACGAACGCUGGCGGCGUGCCUAAUACAUGCAAGUAGGACGCACAGUUUAUACCGUAGCUUGCUACACCAUAGACUGUGAGUUGCGAACGGGUGAGUAACGCGUAGGUAACCUACCUAUUAGAGGGGGAUAACUAUUGGAAACGAUAGCUAAUACCGCAUAACAGUAUGUAACACAUGUUAGAUGCUUGAAAGAUGCAAUUGCAUCGCUAGUAGAUGGACCUGCGUUGUAUUAGCUAGUAGGUAGGGUAAAGGCCUACCUAGGCAACGAUACAUAGCCGACCUGAGAGGGUGAUCGGCCACACUGGGACUGAGACACGGCCCAGACUCCUACGGGAGGCAGCAGUAGGGAAUCUUCGGCAAUGGGGGGAACCCUGACCGAGCAACGCCGCGUGAGUGAAGAAGGUUUUCGGAUCGUAAAGCUCUGUUGUUAAGGAAGAACGAGUGUGAGAAUGGAAAGUUCAUGCUGGACG